GAUGAACGCUGGCAGCGUGCCUAAUACAUGCAAGUCGAGCGAACAGACGAGGAGCUUGCUCCUCUGACGUUAGCGGCGGACGGGUGAGUAACACGUGGAUAACCUACCUAUAAGACUGGGAUAACUUCGGGAAACCGGAGCUAAUACCGGAUAAUAUAUUGAACCGCAUGGUUCAAUAGUGAAAGACGGUUUUGCUGUCACUUAUAGAUGGAUCCGCGCCGCAUUAGCUAGUUGGUAAGGUAACGGCUUACCAAGGCAACGAUUCGUAGCCGACCUGAGAGGGUGAUCGGCCACACUGGAACUGAGACACGGUCCAGACUCCUACGGGAGGCAGCAGUAGGGAAUCUUCCGCAAUGGGCGAAAGCCUGACGGAGCAACGCCGCGUGAGUGAUGAAGGUCUUCGGAUCGUAAAACUCUGUUAUUAGGGAAGAACAAAUGUGUAAGUAACUAUGCACGUCUUGACGGUACCUAAUCAGAAAGCCACGGCUAACUACGUG
rnacentral:rRNA from 1 species